GGAAUAUAAGAAACUGUUUCUUAACUUAAAACUAAAAAAGUUAAGAACCAAUUCUUAAAUAUCUAAGAACUGAUUCUUGAUUUUUUUAGUUAAAAGUUAAGAGACACUUUCUUAUAUUCC
rfam:Brassica rapa chromosome A4, whole genome shotgun sequence.